CUAUGUUGGCUUCUGAAGUAUAACACUGGCAGACAGCCUCCAAGGAAGAAAGCCCACUGGAAGCCACCAAAGAAUGCAGUGCUUAGUACAUUCCCUGAGCAGCAUCAGUGACAUGACUCCUAUAAAGACCCCACAGGAUUUUUAAAUCGUCCCUUCGAUGGUAGAAGCUCCAGAGGAGUACAGGCAGCAGUGACCGUGGCUUCUUGAAUCUGCCAGAGAAACAAGGUCAAGCUGACAGGGAUGGGAGAGGGGAAGAAGGGAGAGCCCCUUGCCGUGACUGGUUCUGCUGUGCUGUGGGAAACUUUCCACAUUGAAGUGACUGAAUCCCAUCACUUUCCAGCAGACCAUGCCUCCUACAUUGCGUCUCUGCAACAGAAGUGCUGCAUAAGAACCACACAACACCAGGAAACAUACUGUACAGCAGUCUCUGCCCUUCACUUGAUCCCUCUCAGCAUGUCUGCAAGGUUCAUCAGUCUCCUCAAACACAGAUGACAAAUGACUUCUAAGCUUAAAGUCAAGAUUAAACCCUACAGUUAGCAGAAGCACUGCAUGGAGAAAAAGGGGAAAAUGAAUUUUACUACCCAUUUUACAAUCAAAAGUAGCACUUUAUCAGCAGAAUAUCCAAUUUUCAUGUUCCAUUUUCAUAACACUAUCUCUAUUACAUCACUAAGAAUAAACCUACAUUCACUCACUAAUCUUUUUCCCUAUUAAAAUCUUGCUGAAUCUGUGUUCAAUACCAACUUCAUUUCUUUUCACUUGCUAGCAUCUUAAUUAAAAUCAGCUUAUGUUGACUUUCAUUUUUACAAUAUAUGCCUAUUUCACGUCUUAGCAUCUUCAUGGCCCCCCAGGGAGUCAUUAUUCUUUAAUAUUUUAUUUUGACCUUGUUAAGUUAGUGGAAUUGCCUGAUAUUUUUCUUUAUGUGCUAAGUCUUUCCUGCACACCUUUUCACAAUACACACUAUAUGUAAAACCACCUCGUUUGCAAUCAGAUUGUCUUUAUACAAAAUAUAUCAGUUCAUUUAUAAAAAUAGCCUUUGACCCUUUUAGAUUUAUUACAAGAAUUGUUUUUAUAAAUCAUACAUUUCAUUGUUGAUUAAUGAAGGACCACUGGCCAAUGAAACUUGAAGAUAUUUAUUCCAAACUUCAGGAUGGAUAAUUAAUUUUUUUUAAGACUAGUAUUUUAAAUAAGAAAAGAAACAAGCUAAAUUUAUCCAUUCUUUUCAAAAAAUGAAAGUAUAACCAGUUUUGUUCAGAACAGCAUUCUGAAUAUGCACAGAAUGAGAAACAUUUUUAAACAUAU